rnacentral:rRNA from 1 species
AGCAGCCGCGGUAAUUCCAGCUCCAAUAGCGUAUAUUAAAGUUGUUGCAGUUAAAAAGCUCGUAGUUGAAUUUCGGGGUUAGUAGGUUGGUCAUGCCUCUGGUAUGUACUGGUCUCACUGAUUCCUCCUUCCUGAUGAGCCGUAAUGCCAUUAAUUUGGUGUUGCGGGGAAUUUGGACUGUUACUUUGAAAAAUUAGAGUGUUUAAAGCAAGCUAACGCUUGAAUACAUUAGCAUGGAAUAAUGAAAUAGGACGUUCGAUCCUAUUUUGUUGGUUUCUAGGAUUGACGUAAUGAUUAAUAGGGAUAGUUGGGGGCAUUAGUAUUCAAUUGUCAGAGGUGAAAUUCUUGGAUUUAUUGAAGACUAACUACUGCGAAAGCAUUUGCCAAGGAUGUUUUCAUUAAUCAAGAACGAAAGUUAGGGGAUCGAAGACGAUCAGAUACCGUCGUAGUCUUAACCAUAAACUAUGCCGACUAGGGAUCGGAUGAUGUUAAUUUUUAAUGACUCAUUCGGCGCCUU